UUUGAUCCUGGCUCAGAUUGAACGCUGGCGGCAUGCUUUACACAUGCAAGUCGAACGGCAGCACGGGGGCAACCCUGGUGGCGAGUGGCGAACGGGUGAGUAAUGCAUCGGAACGUGCCCAGUAUGGGGGAUAACACAUCGAAAGAUGUGCUAAUACCGCAUACGCACUACGGUGGAAAGCGGGGGAUCGUAAGACCUCGCGCUAUUGGAGCGGCCGAUGUCCGAUUAGCUAGUUGGUGGGGUAAUGGCCCACCAAGGCAACGAUCGGUAGCCGGCCUGAGAGGGCGGACGGCCACACUGGGACUGAGACACGGCCCAGACUCCUACGGGAGGCAGCAGUGGGGAAUUGUUCGCAAUGGGCGCAAGCCUGACGACGCAACGCCGCGUGGAGGAUGAAGAUUUUCGGAUCGUAAACUCCUUUCGAUCGGGACGAAUGGCUGGAGACCUAAUACGUCUUCAGAGUGACGGUACCGAGAGAAGAAGCCCCGGCUAACUCCGUGCCAGCCGCCGCGGUAAUUC
rnacentral:rRNA from 1 species